GAUGAACGCUGGCGGCGUGCCUAAUACAUGCAAGUCGAGCGAACAGACGAGGAGCUUGCUCCUCUGACGUUAGCGGCGGACGGGUGAGUAACACGUGGAUAACCUACCUAUAAGACUGGGAUAACUUCGGGAAACCGGAGCUAAUACCGGAUAAUAUAUUGAACCGCAUGGUUCAAUCGUGAAAGAAGGUUUUGCUGUCACUUAUAGAUGGAUCAGCGCCGCAUUCGGUAGUUGGUAAGGUAACGGCUUACCAAGGCGACGAUGCGUAGCCGACCCGAGAGGGUGAUCGGCCACACUGUAACUGAGACACGGUCCAGACUCCUACGGGAGGCAGCAGUAGGGAAUCUUCCGCAAUGGGCGAAAGCUUGACGGAGCAACGCCGCGUGAGUGAUGAAGGUCUUCUGAUCGUAAAACUCUGUUAUUAGGGAAGAACAAAUGUGUAAGUAACUAUGCACGUCUUGACGGUACCUAAUCAGAAAGCCACGGCUAACUACGUG
rnacentral:rRNA from 1 species